AACGAACGCUGGCGGCAGGCCUAACACAUGCAAGUCGAGCGAGGACUUCGGUUCUAGCGGCGGACGGGUGAGUAACGCGUGGGAACGUGCCCCUUGGUACGGAAUAGCCCCGGGAAACUGGGAGUAAUACCGUAUGAGCUCUACGGAGGAAAGAUUUAUCGCCAAGGGAUCGGCCCGCGUUGGAUUAGGUAGUUGGUGGGGUAAUGGCCUACCAAGCCGACGAUCCAUAGCUGGUUUGAGAGGAUGAUCAGCCACACUGGGACUGAGACACGGCCCAGACUCCUACGGGAGGCAGCAGUGGGGAAUCUUAGACAAUGGGCGCAAGCCUGAUCUAGCCAUGCCGCGUGAGCGAUGAAGGCCUUAGGGUUGUAAAGCUCUUUCAGCUGGGAAGAUAAUGACUGUACCAGCAGAAGAAGCCCCGGCUAACUCCGUGCCAGCAGCCGCCGUAAGAC
rnacentral:rRNA from 1 species